UACGUAGGGGGCAAGCGUUGUCCGGAAUCAUUGGGCGUAAAGCGCGUGUAGGCGGUUCGGUAAGUCGGAUGUGAAACCUCCAGGCUCAACCUGGAGACGCCAUCUGAUACUGCCGUGGCUUGAGUCCGGUAGAGGAGCAGGGAAUUCCUGGUGUAGCGGUGAAAUGCGCAGAUAUCAGGAGGAACACCAGCGGCGAAGGCGCUGCUCUGGGCCGGUACUGACGCUGAGGAGCGAAAGCGUGGGGAGCGAACAGG
rnacentral:rRNA from 1 species